UGCAAUGUUAAACGUUUCUUUUAAACUAUUUAGAUUUUCAUAGUUACAAUAUCAAGGCUCUAUCUUACAUCACAAUUGUCUGUAGUGUCCAAAAGCUAGUCACUACUACAUUCAACUAUUGAAAAUAAAAAAUUGAGUUAACAAAAACAGCUUUUUAUCCAACUAGUUAUUUU
rnacentral:misc_RNA from 1 species